GAUGAAGAACGUAGCGAAAUGCGAUACGUAAUGUGAAUUGCAAAUUCAGUGAAUCAUCGAGUCUUUGAACGCACAUUGCGCUCCCUGGUAUUCCGGGGGGCAUGCCUGUCCGAGCGUCAUUGCUGCCCUCAAGCACGGCUUGUGUGUUGGGCCCCGUCCUCCGAUCCCGGGGGACGGGCCCGAAAGGCAGCGGCGGCACCGCGUCCGGUCCUCGAGCGUAUGGGGCUUUGUCACCCGCUCUGUAGGCCCGGCCGGCGCUUGCCGAUCAACCCAAAUUUUUAUCCAGGUUGACCUCGGAUCAGGUAGGGAUACCCGCUGAACUUAAGCAUAUCAAUAAGCGGAGGA
rnacentral:misc_RNA from 1 species